GCGGGACCGAGCUGUCCGCGAGCGGCGAAGCGCGGGCCCCGGGCGCGGCGGGGAGCGCGCGAGGAGACGAGCGCCCGGCGCAGGAACCAGAGGCCGCCGGGGUUCACCGGCUGCCGCCGCGAUGAGCGGCGCCUGGGUUCGGGCUCGGCCUGCCGCCCGCCGGCUUCUCCUCCAGCCCCGGAGCACGAGCCCGACCGCCCCGGAUCGCGCCGCUCUGAGACUUCGGGUCCUGCUGCUGCUGAGCUCGGCUGCGGGCUCGAACUCGCCCGGGUGAUGGCAGAAGGCGUGGAGCUGUGCAGUGCUCCAGCCCACCGUCUCUGGAUCGUUGGCGCCAGUUACUGUUCUGUGCUCGGAGACCCUGUGACCUCCUUGCGGUGGAACAGAAACUAAAAGCUCAGUACAAACUGCUUCUCCAGUGGCGCUUUCUGGGCGUGCGUCUUGGUGGCUGGCAAGGUGGAGGAGUGAAGGGCGGCGAGGCAAGAUCGGAGUAACUCUCCCCGGGAGAGAUGCGGAACGGAAUGGGUAGACCCUCGCUUCAAGUGAUGCCAGAACCUGUGCCGCGUUGCUGAGAUUUCCAACUGCGUGUUGAGGACUAAAGCUGUAAGACUCAGAAAGACUGGUGUGGGUAGUUAGGCUGUGGAUUCCUGUGUUGAGAGUAAAGGACGCAUAGAAGAACGGGAGAGUCAAAUAAGGCAGGAUUAGACAAAAGGGAGGCGAAUGGAUUGAAAAUCAAAUACAGUGGCAGCGCAAGCAUUCUGGAAAGAAGAAAAUCCCUUCUCCAGAUUAGAACAAUUUCAACUCAUAAGUAUUGUGUCAGGGAAAUGUUAGAUUUGGGGUGCCAGUCGGGUCAUACGUAAACACACAGGAAACAGCCUCUAGUUUUGAUUGUGGUCCUAACUCUCUCUGUUACCCUGGGCAGGGCAGGUAAACUUCAUAUGGCUGUUUCUUGUCUGUGAAAGGACGGACCUGUUAAUGCUUUUCAGUUCCAUCGCUCCAUGGUUCUGCUUCCCCAGUGCCCUCUGAACUUCUAACUCAUAAGAACUGUCUGGGGCGAGUCAUUAACUGAACUCAUAUCUGUGAAGACAUCAGCAAAGCGAGCAACUUCUCAUUGCUAUGGAGGCUCUGUGCGCCACACCAUGAUCUCUUAAUCCCUUCACUUUCCCCCACGGAGGUACCAUGAUACUUUGAGAAUAGUCCUCCUUUUCAUCUUGAAACACUCAUCCACCUAGGAAAGAAGGAAAAGGUCCAAGAAGCGGAGCACUGCUAUGGAUUUCACCCUUUUGGCGUUGAUGCCUUGGACACUUCACUUGAUGUCAUUCCCUCGAGGUCUCCGAUGGCGGCAUUUCAAGUCAGCUUCCCUUCUUGCACUCAUGGGAACAACUGAGGCAUUUCCUUCCCUCCAAGUUUAAGUACAGAAACAUUACUCAAACCAGGGGACAUCUGUCUACCAGUCCUGACAUCCAACUAAUAGAGAGUCGCAUUCACCUACUCACACGGAGUCAUGCCCUCCAAUUCGCCUUAUCUGUGUAGUUCAGCUUUUUCAGAUCACUUGUUAAUUUUCGGUUUUCAUCUCUCAUGCACCUUUGCUGUGACAAUGACAGUUCUCCAGUACAACCCCUUUACUAUAAGAGUAUAUGAUUUGGUAACUUUAAGAAAUAAGAUUUCAUAAUUCUGCCUUUUACAAGUUCUUCUUUUACUUCGAAACUGGCAAAGACCCUUUUACGGAUAUAAAAAAGCUCAGUAAAUUUGAACGAACUAAUCUAUACCUUCUCAUCCUGAUAUAUUGUCAUAAAAUUUCACUACAAGGUAUUUUUUCCUUUGUUUGAUAUGGAGGAAUGAAAAAAGUUCAAAUUUCUGUUUUACACUAGUUUUUCUGAGUUUCUUGAAAUGACUUUGCAAUGGGCAUUUUUUGCUCUAUCUAAAUUGAGUGUCAUUAUUAAGGAAACCCUUAUGAAUCCUGAAGUUGAAAAAUAAACCAGGUCAGGUUUGUAUAUGUAAAAUUGCUGACAUCAAUGAUGUUUUUCCAUAUUCUUAUCUGGGCUUAAGAAAUACAUUCUGUAUUUUUCCAGAAUCUUUGUAGCCUUUGAAAGAUUUUUACAAGUAUGUAUGUCUUGACUGAGCUGUCCUUUCUUUAUACGAAAAGCUUGUAUAAUUUUUUUAACUUGUACAGUUGGUAAACUUUUAUGAGAGGAUUGAUAUUCUGAGUCUGUCGGCUUUCAUUUUAUUGUGCUAAGGUUUUUCUAAUGAGUUUUUAAGCAUUUGUGUAGCUAACUAAGUCAUGUUUCAUAUCCAGGUGGUAAAAGCAUUCAUAAAGGAUUGUGAAAAUUUUUAAAAAUUUCUACCUAAGGACAAAUAGUUUGAAAAUUCUGAAAUUGAGCAUGGUCCUUAGAUUGUACUGUUUGUUUUGAAUUUACCGUAAUUUUCAAAAUUAUUUUUGAAGCAAAAUGAAGGUUUAAUGUCAGCAUAAGUGGUUCAGUGUGUCAUGCUGACAAGAAUACUGUUGAGUUAUUUUUAUAUGUAUCAUAAAACUUCCCAUUUUUACAUCAGACAACAGAGGCAAAGGUCAAGUGAUACUUAGAUACUGGCACAUGCAGGGAGUUGCUCUUGGCAGGCAGCAUAUUGAUUCUAGGAGGAGAAAGUGACAGAGUUUGAAGUUUGCAAACUGCCAAUUACAGUCCAGUUGUUCAGGUUGAUGUUGUUUUUCCAAAAUGAAAGUAAACAGAAAACCACUGCUGUGCAAAAAAAAAAAAUAGAGUUUCCCUAUGAGACAGACUUGCAAUGUUAGCAAGGUUACCAGCUGCUUAGGUUCACAGGCUUACGUUUGUUUGCUCUCCGCUGGCCAAAAAAUGAAGGGCAUUUAUUUUGAUAGGAAGAAAAAGGGUUUUAUUCAAAGCUAGCUCGAAGGUGCUGGAUGGGCUGAUUUGCCUCAAAUCACCAACCGUCUUCCCUGGUACAAGUGGCAAAGGGUCCCUUACAGUAUGAGCAGAGGGGAAGGGAUCCCAGAGAGAAGAGCUGAUCUCCACCACUGCAGUGUCACGUGUAGCCCUCUUCUGCCAUUGUCCCCUUCCUGUGCACAGAAAAGGCUCCAGGAGUGGUCCUUAGCCACACAUUCUGUCACUUCUUUCAGGCGGAGGGGAGGAGGGGUUUAUUAUGUGCUCAGCAGGAGGAAGUUUUGAAAAGUUGCUUAUCUCUGAAAGAAAAAAAAAAUCUACCUUUCCAAGUUUCAUUUUGCAUUACUAGUUACAGGAGAACUGCUGCUGACUUUUACCACUCUUCCCAUUUUUCUAAUCUCCCAAGAUAAACCUUGAGAUACAAUACUAUUGUGUUCUAUUUGCCGUGAUAACUUAAGAGUGAAAGUGAAGAUUUGGCUGAAGAAUGGCAACAAAUAAGACAGAAAUGGAGAAGAAAUGAUUUACCUCCUUAAAACGUGCUAGAGCAGGACAAUUUGCAAAAUUGGAAAGGGUAAUAGUUUUAUAGAUCAAAGAUGCUUCUAGAUUGGCAGGUACUUCCAUUCAUCAUGACAGCUUCCUGCCCCAAGACCCAAACAGGUCUUCCCUUAUCACCUGGUUAAGAGAGGCCCCCACCCCGGUCUCAGCUCCUCCACACAUUUAUUUUCAUUCUUUUUUGUUUCAUCGUACAUACCACUACCAAACUUUUCUGCCUUCUUCUACUAAAUGUAAGGCCAUGAUGGUAAGGAUUUUUCUGUCUCAUUCUCCACUGUUUUCAUAAUGUCUUCCACUGUGCCUAACGGAUAUGGUAGUAGGUACCAAGUAACUACUUGAAUGACUGAAUGAAAAUGUUACUUUUCAAAGAUUUGGGUAAAUUCCCAAUUCACUCUUAGGCAGUUUUUCCUAAAUUUUCACAUAUUUGAAUUAUUAUUUAGAACUUUGAAAAUAAUUUGAUAUUUCCAAUAAUAUAAAAUUAUUGGAGUUAUGUAAUGUUUACUUUGUGAAUACUAUUACAGAAGAUAUCAUUCAGAGAAGAAGAUUUUAGGGUGCAGUUUGAGUCUUGAUAGCAGAUAUAGAUAUUAAAGUAAGAAUAUUAUCUUAAUAUUGUUUUGAUAAGGAGCAUGCUACAGUGUAAGAACUAUAAUACCAGAAACUUAAGCAUUAGGCAAUAACAACUUCAGUGGAAUACAUCUGGCCAAGUACACACCAGUGAUUGAAAUGCUCAUGUGAGUAGUGUGUUACACCCAACACAUUAAUCAUCCAUGUUUGAGUGUCUGCUUAAAAGGAUGAUGUUCAAUAUUUUUUUUUAUUUUUUUAUUUUUGGUACCGGGGAUCGAACUUGGGUCUUUCCACUUGCCCAGCAGGCGGCAAAACCACUGAGCUAAAUCCCCGGCUGGUGUUCAAUAUUUACGGAGCUAUAUUCAAACCUAAAAGUAUAUUGCUGCUCAUUGAUGAACACAAGAGUUUUACUGUAAUUACUUUAGAAAUGUAGCACAGUCUGUUUCAUUUAAUAGAAUUAGUAUUUGGCUUCCUAAUUUUUCUGUCAAUUUUUAAAAAUGUAUAGAGUACAAGAGGUACUUCCUUUAAAAGAAAUUAAAAACAAGCCAAAUGACAUAAAAUUAUAUGAUUUAAUUAACAAUGUCAGUGUAAACUAAAUCCUAGGAGAGAAGAAUUCAUAUGCACAUAUAGAUAUGUACACUCUUGCAAUUUCUGGCGAAUCAGUAUAACUGGUAGAGAUGACAUAGCACUGGAAAACUGGCAAUUAUUAGAGUUCUUUCCAAAAAGGAAAAAGGAUAAAUCCUACCCAUUUCAUUUUGGUAAUCUUAUAUCAAUCCAUGGAAAAAUUCCAGGUCAGAUGAUUUGUGAGCUUUAAUAUAUAAGUUAAUGUUCAUGAGUAGCAAACAUAAAUCUUUAGGAAAACUUUUUAUCAAAGUAAUACCAAUUUUUUGGACAAUAGUUGGCUAGAAUAUCUCAAGAGAAUGCCAUGAUAUAGGAUCAUUUUUUCCCCUCUCAGGUUAAGUGUAGACAACAUGUUAAAAUGCGACCUGCAUAACUAAAUAGAAUAACUACAAUCAGU
ensembl:lncRNA